GGGGGCGUAGCUCAAUUGGUUAGAGCAUCAGAUUGUCGAUCUGAGGGUUGCGGGUUCAAGUCCCGUCGCUCCCG
rfam:Omnitrophica bacterium RIFCSPLOWO2_12_FTLL_44_17 rifcsplowo2_12_scaffold_7757, whole genome shotgun sequence.